GGUAGUGUGGUGCAAUGGUUUGGGUGUUGGACUGGGCACUGAAAGACCAGGGUUCGAAUCCCAGCUCAGUCA